rnacentral:rRNA from 1 species
GACGAACGCUGGCGGCGUGCCUAAUACAUGCAAGUUGAGCGAUGAAGCUUGGUGCUUGCGCCAAUUUGAAGAGCAGCGAACGGGUGAGUAACGCGUGGGGAAUCUGCCUUUGAGCGGGGGACAACAUGUGGAAACGAAUGCUAAUACCGCAUAACAACUUUAAACAUAAGUUUUAAGUUUGAAAGAUGCAAUUGCAUCACUCAAAGAUGAUCCCGCGUUGUAUUAGCUAGUUGGUGAGGUAAAGGCUCACCAAGGCGGUGAUACAUAGCCGACCUGACAGGGUGGGUGGCCGCAUUGGGACUGAGACACGGCCCAAACGCCCACGGGAGGCAGCCAGAGGGAAACUUCGGCAAUGGACGAAAGUCUGAGCGAGCAACGCCGCGUGAGUGAAGAAGGAUUUCGGAUCGGAAAACUCUGUUGGUAGAGAAGAACGUUGGUGAGAGUGGAAAGAUCAUCAAGUGACGGUAACUACCCAGAAAGGGACGGCUAACUACGUG